rnacentral:rRNA from 1 species
UACGUAGGGUGCAAGCGUUGUCCGGAAUUAUUGGGCGUAAAGAGCUCGUAGGCGGUUCGUCACGUCGGCUGUGAAAUCCCGAGGCUCAACCUCGGGUCUGCAGUCGAUAACGGGCGGACUGGAGUACUGCAGGGGAGACUGGAAUUCCUGGUGUAGCGGUGAAAUGCGCAGAUAUCAGGAGGAACACCGGUGGCGAAGGCGGGUCUCUGGGCAGUAACUGACGCUGGAGGAGCGAAAGCGUGGGGAGCGAACAGG